AUUGAACGCUGGCGGCAUGCCUUACACAUGCAAGUCGAACGGCCGCACGGGUGCUUGCACCUGGUGGCGAGUGGCGAACGGGUGAGUAAUACAUGGGAACAUGUCCUGUAGUGGGGGAUAGUCCGGCGGAAGCCGGAUUAAUACCGCAUACGAUCUACGGAUGACAGCGGGGGCACUUGGGGCAUCGCGCUGUAGGGUUGGCCGAUGGCUGAUUAGCUAGUUGGUGGGGUAAAGGCCUACCAAGGCGACGAUCAGUAGCUGGUCUGAGAGGACGACCAGCCACACUGGGACUGAGACACGGCCCAGACUCCUACGGGAGGCAGCAGUGGGGAAUUUUGGACAAUGGGCGAAAGCCUGAUCCAGCAAUGCCGCGUGUGUGAAGAAGGCCUUCGGGUUGUAAAGCACUUUUGUCCGGAAAGAAAUCCUUGGCCCUAAUACGGUCGGGGGAUGACGGUACCGGAAGAAUAAGCACCGGCUAACUACGUG
rnacentral:rRNA from 1 species